AUGGCCAAAAAUAAAAGAAAGCUUGCAACACUACAUUCUUUUUUUGAGAAGAAAAGAAGAACUGAUGAUGUUCCAGAACAGAUUAAUUUGGUUGAUGCCCCUCCCUUGGUAGAUGAAGAAAAGCAAGUAGAUGAACAAGAACAAGUAGAAGAAACUCCAAUAUCAACAACACCACCUCAGGUUAUGAGAGGGAGAGGCAAUGAUGAUUCUACUAUUUUGGUGGUCGAAAGAGAACCAGGUCUGCGGUGCCAAAUUUCAGAUUAUCCUCCUAACGAUCAAGAAAAAGCUCGAAUGGCACAUAUAAAGCAUGGGGCAUAUCAUUUUAAAAUGGAUGAGUAUCCUCCUGAUGAGUCGGUGACCCAUCCACGCAAGUUUCAGUAUCAUUGGUUUAAGAGCUUCCCUUGGUUAAAAUAUUCGCCGGAUAAAGAUGCAGUCUACUGUUUUCCAUGCUUUUUAUUUUGUAAGAAGCCACUUGGAAAGAAAGGAUCUGAUGUGUUUACAGUGAAAGGAUUCAAAAAAUGGAAGAGAGUUAAUGACGGAGAGAGAUGUGCAUUCUUAACUCACAUGGGAAAGGACAGUAAAUCUGCUCAUAAUUAUGCUGCAAAAUGUUAUGAUAAUCUGAAGAAUAAGCCAUGUCAUAUGGAACCAUUAGUGGUGAAGCAAACAGAUGGGGAUAUCAAAAGGAAUAGGCUGCGGCUUAGAGUAACCGUUGAUUCACUACGUUGGUUAGCAUUCCAAGCUUGCCCCUUCCGAGGACAUGAUGAAAGUCUUGAUUUGAAGAACCAAGGUAAUUUCCUUGAAAUGGUGAAAUUGAUAGCUUCUUAUGAUGAGGAAAUUGGUGUUGUAGUGUUGGGUAAUGCUCCAGGCAAUGCUAAGUAG
rnacentral:rRNA from 1 species